AUGAACGCUGGCGGCGUGCCUAAUACAUGCAAGUCGAGCGGACAGACGAGGAGCUUGCUCCUCUGACGUUAGCGGCGGACGGGUGAGUAACACGUGGAUAACCUACCUAUAAGACUGGGAUAACUUCGGGAAACCGGAGCUAAUACCGGAUAACAUGUUGAACCGCAUGGUUCAACAGUGAAAGACGGUCUUGCUGUCGCUUAUAGAUGGAUCCGCGCCGCAUUAGCUAGUUGGUAAGGUAACGGCUUACCAAGGCAACGAUGCGUAGCCGACCUGAGAGGGUGAUCGGCCACACUGGAACUGAGACACGGUCCAGACUCCUACGGGAGGCAGCAGUAGGGAAUCUUCCGCAAUGGGCGAAAGCCUGACGGAGCAACGCCGCGUGAGUGAAGAAGGUCUUCGGAUCGUAAAACUCUGUUAUUAGGGAAGAACAAAUGUGUAAGUAACUAUGCACGUCUUGACGGUACCUAAUCAGAAAGCCACGGCUAACUACGUG
rnacentral:rRNA from 1 species